rnacentral:misc_RNA from 1 species
AACAAGGCGUACCUGCGGACCUGCGGAAGGAUCAUUAACCUUUCAAAUCAGGGUGCGGCGCGGCCCCCGAGGAGCGGAAACAAUCCUUGGGAGGUAUGCGGGGGCUUCGAGCCCCCCAUUUACGCACGCACGACUGCCAUCCUUACUUUACGAGCACCUUCUGUUCUCCCUCGGCGGGGCAACCUGCCGUUGGAACCGAAUAGACUCUUUUUGCAUCUAGCAUUACCUGUUCCGAAACAA